rnacentral:rRNA from 1 species
GGCGAACGCUGGCGGCGUGCUUAACACAUGCAAGUCGAGCGAGAGAAAUUCCUUCGGGAAGGACUCUAGCGGCGGACGGGUGAGUAACACGUGGGUAACUUGCCUCAUAGAGGGGAAUAGCCUUUCGAAAGGAAGAUUAAUACCGCAUAAGAUUGUAGUAUCGCAUGAUGCAGCAAUUAAAGGAGUAAUCCGCUAUGAGAUGGACCCGCGUCGCAUUAGCUAGUUGGUGAGGUAACGGCUCACCAAGGCGACGAUGCGGAGCCGACCUGAGAGGGUGGUCGGCCACAUUGGGACUGAGACGCGGCCCAGACCCCUACGGGAGGCAGCAGUGGGGAAUAUUGCAUAAUGGGGGAAACCCUGAUGCAGCAACGCCGCGUGAGUGAUGACGGUCUUCGGAUUGUAAAACUCUGUCUUCAGGGACGAUAAUGACGGUACCUGAGGAGGAAGCCACGGCUAACUAUGUGCCAGCCGCCGCGGUAA